rnacentral:rRNA from 1 species
UACGGGGGGGGGCAAGCGUUGUUCGGAAUUACUGGGCGUAAAGGGCUCGUAGGUGGCCAACUAAGUCAGACGUGAAAUCCCUCGGCUUAACCGGGGGAACUGCGUCUGAUACUGGACGGCUUGAGUUUGGGAGAGGGACGCGGAAUUCCAGGUGUAGCGGUGAAAUGCGUAGAUAUUGGGAAGAACACCGAUGGCGAAGGCAGCCAUCUGGACCGACACUGACGCUGAGGCGCGAAAGCGUGGGGAGCAAACAGGG